UGCGGACAGUGUCUGGUGGGUAGUUUGACUGGGGCGGUCUCCUCCCAAAGAGUAACGGAGGAGCACGAAGGUUAGCUAAUCCUGGUCGGACAUCAGGAGGUUAGUGCAAUGGCAUAAGCUAGCUUGACUGCGAGCGUGACGGCGCGAGCAGGUGCGAAAGCAGGUCAUAGUGAUCCGGUGGUUCUGAAUGGAAGGGCCAUCGCUCAACGGAUAAAAGGUACUCCGGGGAUAACAGGCUGAUACCGCCCAAGAGUUCAUAUCGACGGCGGUGUUUGGCACCUCGAUGUCGGCUCAUCACAUCCUGGGGCUGAAGUAGGUCCCAAGGGUAUGGCUGUUCGCCAUUUAAAGUGGUACGCGAGCUGGGUUUAGAACGUCGUGAGACAGUUCGGUCCCUAUCUGCCGUGGGCGCUGGAGAAUUGAGGGGGGCUGCUCCUAGUACGAGAGGACCGGAGUGGACGCAUCACUGGUGUUCGGGUUGUCAUGCCAAUGGCAUUGCCCGGUAGCUAAAUGCGGAAAAGAUAAGUGCUGAAAGCAUCUAAGCACGAAACUUGCCCCGAGAUGAGUUCUCCCUGACUCCUUGAGAGUCCUGAAGGAACGUUGAAGACGACGACGUUGAUAGGUCGGGUGUGUAAGCGUAGCGAUACGUUGAGCUAACCGAUACUAAUGAACCGUGAGGCUUAACCUUAC
rnacentral:rRNA from 1 species